GUCACCCAGGCAAGAGGUCUUCCUCACCUGAAACAAGCAGAAAGGGAGUGGUUGCUGGCCCUGUUCAAAGUCCUUGAUAAUUACUUCGACUAUGCAAGUGAUCAUGGAGUACACCUGCCUCUGAGAAAGUAAACUGUCAGCUCUCUGUGGAGUCCUACCAGGGUGCCAAAGAUCUCCCAAGUGUUUAUUUUCCACUGGGCCCCACAUGUUGCACGUGAUGCCGCCUGAGGGUGGAAAAUAGCAAGGAACACAGAGGUUUACACUAAAUACCAUACUGG